rnacentral:lncRNA from 1 species
CACAGUGUUCUGUUUUCCUCCCCUCAGUAGUUGAGGUGACUCAAAGCUCCAACCCUCUAACCACAGGGUUGUUCUCUCUAGUGACAAGUCCUCAUCCUGAAACUAUCUUGGGAUCCACCAAGAGUAGUCUCAUUAGCAUAAACCCAGGUGUGAUCCAGUGGGUUCAUGAACAACAAAGACACACCCAUUGCUCAGCAAAUUCCAAGGGUUUUAGAAGCUCUGAGCCAGGAAUCUGGGACCAAUGAGACAGAAUAAAGACCUGAUUUCCCAACCAUGUUUUCUAUCUUUAACAAGAAGCAGAUUUUUUUUUUUUGCAGAAUGGCCCUAUUGAUGCCACCUGUUUCCUUUAAAGCUUGUAAAGGGACUUUCCUGCAGCUUCCGCAUGCACAGAAUGCUGGCUCUGACCUUCCUGUGGUGACAGCAGUGAGUACCUAUGCCAUCUUUUGCAAACUGAGCACAAAUGGAUUCAAUGCAAGUGCACAGAUCACUAUACAGACCACAGAUGUUGUUACCGAGAAAAGAUCAAAUGAGACAUAAGCAGAAGUCCUGAGCCAUGGGUAAGCUGCUUGUCAGACUACAUAAGCUUUACUCCUUGAAGAGCCGGUCCAGGAGCCCUUUCCUGUGUGCUGUCUCCCUUCCGCUUGAGCAUAAGCCUCAAUAAAGCCUCAUCCGGAUUGAAUUGCUUGCCUCUUCGUGAUUUCUAUCUGGAAUUGAGCAAACAAACCUAAAGCUGAGCUGGUAACACUAAGAGGUGGUAACACCUGGUUGGUAACACAAAGACCAUACAAAUUAUUUAUCACACAAUAAGAGCUCCUGAAUUGGGAAGUCAGGGAUGUGACACCUGUGUCCCUGCACUGGAGAUUCAAAGAGCCUUAAGGGAGAAAAUGUAGAGAAGGAAUUCUUGAAACUAAAGGUUUAGAAAAUACUUAUGAAUAGGGGUCAGGAAAAGAAAGUGGUUUGAUUUUCUUAUUAAAAUGCUUGAAUUCUAGCUUUUUUUAUUUCUAGAAACUUGGAGACUUGAUCACUGGCCAUUGAUGAGUAGCCUUUUUCAGUUCACUGAACACUGGGAAAUAAACACCUGGGCCUGU